rnacentral:rRNA from 1 species
UGAGGAAUAUUGGUCAAUGGGCGAGAGCCUGAACCAGCCAAGUAGCGUGCAGGAUGACGGCCCUAUGGGUUGUAAACUGCUUUUAUGUGGGGAUAAAGUGCGUGACGUGUCAUGCAUUGCAUGUACCAUACGAAUAAGGACCGGCUAAUUCCGUGCCAGCAGCCGCGGUAAUACGGAAGGUCCAGGCGUUAUCCGGAUUUAUUGGGUUUAAAGGGAGCGUAGGCUGUUUGUUAAGCGUGUUGUGAAAUGUAGACGCCCAACGUCUGCAUCGCAGCGCGAACUGGGACGCUUGAGUACGCGCAACGUUGGCGGAAUUCGUCGUGUAGCGGUGAAAUGCUUAGAUAUGACGAGGAACUCCGAUUGCGAAGGCAGCUGACGGGAGCGGCACUGACGCUUAAGCUCGAAGGUGCGGGUAUCAAACAGG